rnacentral:tRNA from 1 species
CGGAUUCUAGUUUAACUAAAACAAUUAACUUGCAAUUAACAGAUAUCUAAUUAUAUUUGAAUCUGA